rnacentral:lncRNA from 1 species
GCAAGAUUAAAAGCCAAUACAAGAAAUAGCCAUGUGAAUGAUAGAAAAUUAAGAAAAUACAGAUUUGCAAAAAGAAGAAAAUAUCUGUACAAAAAUCAUACUGUCCAGAAAUGACCACUAUUUUAAAUUUUUGCUUAUAUAUCUGAUAUGAUUUGGAUCUUUGUCCCUGUCCAAAUCUCAUGUUGAAUUGUAAUCCCCGAUGUUGG